ensembl:snRNA U6 U6 spliceosomal RNA
GUGCUGACUUUGGCAACACGUACACUAAGAUUGGAAUGAUACAGAGAAGAUUAGCAUGGCCCCU